rnacentral:rRNA from 1 species
GACGAACGCUGGCGGCGUGCUUAAUACAUGCAAGUCGAACGGAAAGGCCCUGCUUUUGUUGGGUGCUCGAGUGGCGAACGGGUGAGUAACACGUGAGUAACCUGCCCUUGACUUUGGGAUAACUUCAGGAAACUGGGGCUAAUACCGGAUAGGAUCUCCUGCUGCAUGGUGGGGGUUGGAAAGAUUCGGCGGUUGGGGCUGGACUCGCGGCUUAUGAGCUUGUUGGUGGGGUAGUGGCUUACCAAGGCUUUGACGGGUAGCCGGCCUGAGAGGGUGACCGGCCACAUUGGGACUGAGAUACGGCCCAGACGCCUACGGGAGGCAGCAGUGGGGAAUAUUGCACAAUGGGCGGAAGCCUGAUGCAGCAACGCCGCGUGCGGGAUGACGGCCUUCGGGUUGUAAACCGCUUUCGCCUGAGACGAAGCGUGAGUGACGGUAAUGGGUAAAGAAGCACCGGCUAACUACGUG